GAUAAUCGACUGUGAAAAAUUACACAGAAUCAACAAAGGCGUCCUUGGGGCUUUCAAAGAAUUAAACACUCUUAAAAUAAUGAAAAGCGGCUUGCAGGAAGUUCCUGACUUUUCCAGAUUCAACACAAGUUCCAAAGAUUCCAACGGAACAAUGUAUGAGAUAGAUCUAUCAACCAACAGAAUAAAGUCAAUACCAACACGCAGCUUUUCCAACGUCAAGUCGUACGUUCUUCGACUUGAAAACAACGAGCUUGAAACAGUUGAAGAUAAUGCUUUUCUGGAGCUCAGAUAGCAAAACUG